AUUGAACGCUGGCGGCAUGCCUUACACAUGCAAGUCGAACGGUAACGGGCCUUCGGGUGCCGACGAGUGGCGAACGGGUGAGUAAUGUAUCGGAACGUACCUUUCAGUGGGGGAUAACGUAGCGAAAGUUACGCUAAUACCGCAUAUUCUGUGAGCAGGAAAGCAGGGGAUCGCAAGACCUUGCGCUGAUUGAGCGGCCGAUAUCAGAUUAGCUAGUUGGUGAGGUAAAGGCUCACCAAGGCGACGAUCUGUAGCGGGUCUGAGAGGAUGAUCCGCCACACUGGAACUGAGAGACGGUCCAGACUCCUACGGGGGGCAGCAGUGGGGAAUUUUGGACAAUGGGGGCAACCCUGAUCCAGCCAUGCCGCGUGAGUGAAGGAGGCCUUCGGGUUGUAAAGCUCUUUCGGCCGGGAAGAAAUCGUAUCAGCUAAUACCUGGUGCGGAUGACGGUACCGGCAUAAGAAGCACCGGCUAACUACGUGCCAGCAGCCGCCGUAAGAC
rnacentral:rRNA from 1 species